AAAAUUUGAAUUUAGCUACAGAGGUUGUAAAAAAGAAAUGUAAGCGCGACAAUGAUUUCACGAAUGAAAAGAACCCACUUACUGUUUUUAUUUGUGGGUUUUUUUUUAUCGUUUCUGUUAUUUGGCAGGGUAAGAAUAUAUUCUUCCAAUACAUCCCUUUUGACUAAGCAUUUAGUUAAUUUGCUAAUGUCCAAUGCAUCAAUCUAAAUUAUAUAGCUGAAUGUUUAACAAACAAAUUUGACUUUGAAUUAAUCGAGACUGAUUGUGAACUUCUAUAAACAUUCGAUCAUACUAGAUUUUUCAAGCUACAAUUUUACCAUAAUCUAUUUCAUAGUAAAUGGCCAGAAAAUUUUUGGAAAACUAACGUACCCAAGAUGAAUUAUAAGGAAUUUUUAUUUGGGCGUGCAAGGAAUGGUCGAAAGAAUAAGCAUAAACAUUAUAUUUACAUGAGAUUAUAGACAUGAACUUCACAUGAUCAAAGAAGAACGAGUUUCAUUCCUUUGUCAUUAUUGUUACAAUAUAAAGUUUCAGAAGAAUGAAGAGAAUUAAACAAUACGAUCCAAGGAUAGCAAUAAAAGUCCCAUAACGGUAAAGAUGCAAAAAAGCAGACGAGCGGUCCGACUACUUCUAGAUUUGGCCUUGAUUAGUUGUUGAUUACCCCCAGACAGCGAAUCCAUGACAUUAAGGGCAUCAUCAUAAAGUUUUUCAGCCGCACUUGAUUGAAUAGAUAGUUGAGCGGAUAUUUCCGACUGAAGUCUAGUAAUAUCAGCCAAAGAUUUCCCUGUAUCACGU